rnacentral:lncRNA from 1 species
AGGACCUUACACACAGUAAGCCAUCAGUGAAUGGACACAUCAGGGGUGCUGUUUGUGGUGUAAAGGAUUUGUAAAGUGAAGAUUUAUCCCUCAACUUUACAUGCUGACUUUGCUUAAAACAAGAUUCAACUGUAAGGGGAAAUGAGUGAGCAGGAGAAGAUUUAACUGAAGAGGUGACACUUGAGCUGGACCUUGAAAUUGGAAUUCUCCUAGCAGAUGGGAGUCUUAGACACUGCGAAAAAAAACAUCGCCCCUCCAUGCACUACCUUUUGCAAAAUGAGGAAAUGGAUCCCGAGAGAGGAAAUGACUGGCCCAGGGCUGCACGGCCAGUUAGUAGAGCCAGCGCUCCCAGCUCUGCUGCUUGGGCAUCUUCCACUCAAGCUCCACACAUCUCAUCCAGCCCAGCCAAAAGCCUCUGGUUCCAGAGCCUCCUCUGCAAAGAAGGAGCUAGGACAGCAGACACAGAUGCAGCCCUCUUCAGAUGGCCUCUGUCCACCUGAGCUGCAAAUGUCCACCCUGCCCCACAGUUGCUCCUGUGGCUUUCUUUGGAGCAGGCUUCUCUCCUGGCUUGCUUUCUGCCUUCUCUGCUGCAGCCCCCUCAGUCCUCACGGCAGCACCAUCUGGAAGUGUAACUCUGCUAAGGAUGGCCGCAACUUUGCCCACCCCCUCCGCCAUGUUCUGCUGAGUGUGGGCCCACACCAACGCAGAUUUACUAAGUACAGAGAGUUCUCCUUUUAUUCAUUUCUGAUUGCUUAGGGAGAAUAAAAUGUUGCUUCUCAGACUUCA